GCUGAGGGUAGUCCCAGUCCUAGCUCAGCCAGUCCUCCCUGUUAAGAUUGGGACAGGUCAUCCACACCCUUUUCUCAACCUCAGUUUCCUCAUCUGUAAAAUGGGGUUGUUGAGAUGAUUCCAUGAGAUGCCUCAUCUAAGGUAAUAAAUGUACAUGUCUCAAAGAAGGGCUCAGUGUAUGUCAAUGAAAUUUUUUUCAAAAGUGCUUCCUCCCUCCCUCCUUUGCUGGAGCAGUGGGCCAGGGAGUGAAUGGAGGCAAUGGGGCAGAUACCGUGGGGGCUUGUGGACCAUACAGAGGACUGUUGUGGUUUUUUUUUUUUUUGCCUUGGGUGAGCUAGCAGUAUGGGAUGGGAUCGGAGUCCGGUGUUCACAGGCUCCCUCUGGGCCUGGGGAGAUACUGAUUCAGUAUCUUGUCUCCAUCUCUCUCUGUCUCCCUUCUCUUUCCCUCGGCAUCCAGCGGCCUCUGAAGCUACAGCCUUCGGUACAUUCUACUGAGAAAGAGUCUGGAGCUGCAAUUUCCAAAUUGUCUACGCUUUGAGGAGGAAAGAUCUGCCCAGGCUACAGGGGAGUUUGAGGUGUUUGUGGAUGGAAAACUGGUCCAUUCAAAGAAGAAAGGCGAUGGCUUUGUGGAUGAGGCCAGGCUGCAGAAGAUUGUGAGCAUUAUCGAUGAGGAAAUUAGGAAAAGGUAGCAGGCAACCGGCCAAAGUUGUAAAGCUGUGCCACCCAAUAACAGCCUACGGCUUUUCAACUUACGGUAAGUUCAUUAAAAUUAAAUACAAUAAAAAUUCACUUGUUAGCUACACUAGCCACAUUUCAAGAGCUCUAUAGCCACAUGUUAAGCAGUGCAGAUGUAGGACAUAGAACCCAUUACUGCAGAAAGUUCCAUUGCUAACGUUGUCUUAAGGUAUUAAAGCAUAUGCACGACCAUUUAUUGGCCACCGAUACUGGAUUCUUAUUUUUUCUUUUCUUUUUAUUUAUUUUUUUUAGAGAGAAGAGAG